rnacentral:rRNA from 1 species
UACGUAGGGUGCGAGCGUUGUCCGGAAUUAUUGGGCGUAAAGGGCUCGUAGGCGGUUUGUCGCGUCUGCUGUGAAAACCCGAGGCUCAACCUCGGGCCUGCAGUGGGUACGGGCAGACUAGAGUGCGGUAGGGGAGAUUGGAAUUCCUGGUGUAGCGGUGGAAUGCGCAGAUAUCAGGAGGAACACCGAUGGCGAAGGCAGAUCUCUGGGCCGUAACUGACGCUGAGGAGCGAAAGCAUGGGGAGCGAACAGG